rnacentral:rRNA from 1 species
GAUGAACGCUGGCGGCGUGCUUAACACAUGCAAGUCGAACGGAAAGGCUCCUGCUUGCAGGGGUACUCGAGUGGCGAACGGGUGAGUAACACGUGGGUGAUCUGCCCUGCACUUCGGGAUAAGCCUGGGAAACUGGGUCUAAUACCGGAUAGGACCACAUUUUGGAUGGUGUGGUGGAAAGUUUUUCGGUGUGGGAUGAGCUCGCGGCCUAUCAGCUUGUUGGUGGGGUAAUGGCCUACCAAGGCGUCGACGGGUAGCCGGCCUGAGAGGGUGUACGGCCACAUUGGGACUGAGAUACGGCCCAGACUCCUACGGGAGGCAGCAGUGGGGAAUAUUGCACAAUGGGCGCAAGCCUGAUGCAGCGACGCCGCGUGGGGGAUGACGGCCUUCGGGUUGUAAACUCCCUUCGCUAGGGACGAAGCGCAAGUGACGGUACCUGGAGAAGAAGCACCGGCUAACUACGUG